rnacentral:rRNA from 1 species
UACGGAAGGUCCGGGCGUUAUCCGGAUUUAUUGGGUUUAAAGGGAGCGUAGGCCGCCAGAUAAGCGUGUUGUGAAAUGUACCGGCUCAACCGGUGAAUUGCAGCGCGAACUGUUUGGCUUGAGUGCACGGUAAGCAGGCGGAAUUCAUGGUGUAGCGGUGAAAUGCUUAGAUAUCAUGAAGAACUCCGAUUGCGAAGGCAGCUUGCUGCAGUGCGACUGACGCUGAUGCUCGAAGGUGCGGGUAU